rnacentral:rRNA from 1 species
AGAGUUAGGUAAAUCCGGCUCUUUUUAAGGCUGAGACACGACGUCGAGCAUCUACGGAUGUGAAGUCAUUGAUGCCAUGCUUCCAGGAAAAGCCUCUAAGCUUCAGAUUGUAAGGAAUCGUACCCCAAACCGACACAGGUGGUCGGGUAGAGAAUACCAAGGCGCUUGAGAGAACUCGGGUGAAGGAACUAGGCAAAAUGGUACCGUAACUUCGGGAGAAGGUACGCUCUCGACGGUGAAGUCCCUCGCGGAUGGAGCUAUUGAGAGUCGCAGAUACCAGGUGGCUGCAACUGUUUAUUAAAAACACAGCACUGUGCAAAAUCGUAAGAUGACGUAUACGGUGUGACGCCUGCCCGGUGCCGGAAGGUUAAUUGAUGGGGUUAGACUUCGGUCGAAGCUCUUGAUCGAAGCCCCGGUAAACGGCGGCCGUAACUAUAACGGUCCUAAGGUAGCGAAAUUCCUUGUCGGGUAAGUUCCGACCUGCACGAAUGGCGUAAUGAUGGCCACGCUGUCUCCACCCGAGACUCAGUGAAAUUGAAAUCGCUGUGAAGAUGCAGUGUACCCGCGGCUAGACGGAAAGACCCCGUGAACCUUUACUACAGCUUGGCACUGAACAUUGACCCUACAUGUGUAGGAUAGGUGGGAGGCUUUGAAGCACGUACGCCAGUAUGUGUGGAGCCGUCCUUGAAAUACCACCCUUGUAGUGUUGAUGUUCUAACGUCGACCCCUUAUCGGGGUUGCGGACAGUGCCUGGUGGGUAGUUUGACUGGGGCGGUCUCCUCCCAAAGAGUAACGGAGGAGCACGAAGGUGGGCUAAUCACGGUUGGACAUCGUGAGGUUAGUGCAAUGGCAUAAGCCCGCUUGACUGCGAGAAUGACAAUUCGAGCAGGUGCGAAAGCAGGUCAUAGUGAUCCGGUGGUUCUGAAUGGAAGGGCCAUCGCUCAACGGAUAAAAGGUACUCCGGGGAUAACAGGCUGAUACCGCCCAAGAGUUCAUAUCGACGGCGGUGUUUGGCACCUCGAUGUCGGCUCAUCACAUCCUGGGGCUGAAGUCGGUCCCAAGGGUAUGGCUGUUCGCCAUUUAAAGUGGUACGCGAGCUGGGUUUAGAACGUCGUGAGACAGUUCGGUCCCUAUCUGCCGUGGGCGUUGGAAGAUUGAAGGGGGCUGCUCCUAGUACGAGAGGACCGGAGUGGACGAACCUCUGGUGUUCGGGUUGUGUCGCCAGACGCAUUGCCCGGUAGCUAAGUUCGGAAUCGAUAACCGCUGAAAGCAUCUAAGCGGGAAGCGAGCCCUGAGAUGAGUCUUCCCUGAUACUUUAAGUAUCCUAAAGGGUUGUCGGAGACUACGACGUUGAUAGGUCAGGUGUGUAAGUGCUGUGAGGCAUUGAGCUAACUGAUACUAAUUGCCCGUGAGGCUUAACCAUACAACACCCAAGGGGUUU